rnacentral:rRNA from 1 species
CAAUAGCGUAUAUUAAAGUUGUUGCAGUUAAAAAGCUCGUAGUUGGAUUUCUGGUGGGAGCGAUAUGCCCGCGCCGCAAGGCGUGUGAGCUUGUUCGUCUCCGGCCAUCCUUGGGGAAAACGUGCCUGGCAUUAGGUUGUCGGGUUCGGGAUCCUCAUCGUUUACUGUGAAAAAAUUAGAGUGUUUAAAGCAGGCUUAUGCCGUUGAAUACAUUAGCAUGGAAUAAUAAUAUAGGACUUUGGUUCUAUUUUGUUGGUUUCUAGGACUAAAGUAAUGAUUGAUAGGGAUAGUUGGGGGUGCUAGUAUUCAGCGGCCAGAGGUGAAAUUCUUGGAUUCGCUGAAGACUAACUUAUGCGAAAGCAUUCACCAAGGAUGUCUUCUUUAAUCAAGAACGAAAGUUGGGGAUCGAAGAUGAUCAGAUACCAU